AGGACGAACGCUGGCGGUGUGCUUCACACAUGCAAGUCGAACGAGGUAGCAAUACCUAGUGGCGGACGGGUGAGUAACGCGUGGGAAUCUGCCUUUAGAUGGGGGAUAACGGGCCGAAAGGUCCGCUAAUACCGCAUAGGCCGCAAGGUUAAAGGAGUAAUCCGUCUAAAGAUGAGCCCGCGUCCGAUUAGCUAGUUGGUAGGGUAAAAGCCUACCAAGGCGACGAUCGGUAGCUGGUCUGAGAGGAUGAUCAGCCACAAUGGGACUGAGACACGGCCCAUACUCCUACGGGAGGCAGCAGUGGGGAAUUUUGUGCAAUGGGCGAAAGCCUGACACAGCGACACCGCGUGAGCGAAGAAGCCCUUUGGGGUGUAAAGCUCUGUCAGCUGGAAACGAAAAAAUGACGGUACCAGCAGAGGAAGCAUCGGACUAACUACGCGCCAGCAGCCGC
rnacentral:rRNA from 1 species